CCCUUAUUACCUGCCAAGUCGAACGAACUCUGGUAUUGAUUGGUGCUUGCAUCAUGAUUUACAUUUGAGUGAGUGGCGAACUGGUGAGUAACACGUGGGAAACCUGCCCAGAAGCGGGGGAUAACACCUGGAAACAGAUGCUAAUACCGCAUAACAACUUGGACCGCAUGGUCCGAGUUUGAAAGAUGGCUUCGGCUAUCACUUUUGGAUGGUCCCGCGGCGUAUUAGCUAGAUGGUGGGGUAACGGCUCACCAUGGCAAUGAUACGUAGCCGACCUGAGAGGGUAAUCGGCCACAUUGGGACUGAGACACGGCCCAAACUCCUACGGGAGGCAGCAGUAGGGAAUCUUCCACAAUGGACGAAAGUCUGAUGGAGCAACGCCGCGUGAGUGAAGAAGGGUUUCGGCUCGUAAAACUCUGUUGUUAAAGAAGAACAUAUCUGAGAGUAACUGUUCAGGUAUUGACGGUAUUUAACCAGAAAGCCACGGCUAACUACGUGCCAGCAGCCGCGGUAAUACGUAGGUGGCAAGCGUUGUCCGGAUUUAUUGGGCGUAAAGCGAGCGCAGGCGGUUUUUUAAGUCUGAUGUGAAAGCCUUCGGCUCAACCGAAGAAGUGCAUCGGAAACUGGGAAACUUGAGUGCAGAAGAGGACAGUGGAACUCCAUGUGUAGCGGUGAAAUGCGUAGAUAUAUGGAAGAACACCAGUGGCGAAGGCGGCUGUCUGGUCUGUAACUGACGCUGAGGCUCGAAAGUAUGGGUAGCAAACAGGAUUAGAUACCCUGGUAGUCCAUACCGUAAACGAUGAAUGCUAAGUGUUGGAGGGUUUCCGCCCUUCAGUGCUGCAGCUAACGCAUUAAGCAUUCCGCCUGGGGAGUACGGCCGCAAGGCUGAAACUCAAAGGAAUUGACGGGGGCCCGCACAAGCGGUGGAGCAUGUGGUUUAAUUCGAAGCUACGCGAAGAACCUUACCAGGUCUUGACAUACUAUGCAAAUCUAAGAGAUUAGACGUUCCCUUCGGGGACAUGGAUACAGGUGGUGCAUGGUUGUCGUCAGCUCGUGUCGUGAGAUGUUGGGUUAAGUCCCGCAACGAGCGCAACCCUUAUUAUCAGUUGCCAGCAUUAAGUUGGGCACUCUGGUGAGACUGCCGGUGACAAACCGGAGGAAGGUGGGGAUGACGUCAAAUCAUCAUGCCCCUUAUGACCUGGGCUACACACGUGCUACAAUGGAUGGUACAACGAGUUGCGAACUCGCGAGAGUAAGCUAAUCUCUUAAAGCCAUUCUCAGUUCGGAUUGUAGGCUGCAACUCGCCUACAUGAAGUCGGAAUCGCUAGUAAUCGCGGAUCAGCAUGCCGCGGUGAAUACGUUCCCGGGCCUUGUACACACCGCCCGUCACACCAUGAGAGUUUGUAACACCCAAAGUCGGUGGGGUAACCUUUUAGGAACCAGCCGCCUAAAGGGGACCAAA
rnacentral:rRNA from 1 species